UCCAGCCACACCUGCUCGGGGCCCUCGAUUCGCGGGGCCCCGGAGGCACCUCCCCUGUCGGGAAACCGGACACGCGGUUUACCCCAUUCUGACCACCUGCGGGCCCCGAGCGUUCGCUUGCCGAGGCUGACUGCACAUUUUGUGUCCUCGAGGGUGUACGUCUUCUCUCCACCUGGGAAGCCUUUCUGCGGCUUAACCAGCAUCAUUGUGGGGUGAACCUACCACCCUACUGGUUAAUGGCCAGAUGAUGAUCCUUUGAGUUGGUCAUAUUUGAAAGAAAAACUUGUUUUAGAGAGCGCUUCUCCUAAACAAGGGCCUGGCUGGCGUCUACGGAAAAGACCGAAUUCAAAAGCAGAUAAAAAGCCUAGGGGCAUCAGGGACUCCCUUAACUAGAUGAAAGAACAGAAAUUACAUAAAAAUUAAACUUGACGUCCAGUGUCGGUUCCUCCUUCUUAGAGUCUGAAGCGUUUGUCACCCCACCUUCCGCCACACCUGUCUCGUGUCAGAACCGUCGUCCUGGAAGCCGUUAGGCACCCACAGAAGUGGCACAUUCCCACUAAGCUCAUUUUGUGUCCCGAGAACUGGGCUUGGCCAGGUUGGGGGCUCCAAAAUCUGGCCACACGUCCCUGUGGGCUGCAUGCUGCUUGCGGCCCGGAUCUGGCUGGACAGAAAUGUGGGCCAGCCUCCCCCACCCCCACGCGGCCAGGGUCCUUCCACCACACUGCCCGCCCUGGGCUGGUGGGGGGAUUACAGCCAGGAUCCCCCAGUGUAGUUGGGAAUGUCAAUUCGGUGGAGUCCCAAUUUCCUUUCGAGAAGAACCCCCGAUGCGUGGGACUUGGGGAGGCCGAACAGCCGAAGGGUGCUGACCAGGGCUGCUCUUGGGUGAACGCCCGAGGGCCGUCGGCAGAACCUGAUCCCUGACCGUCCACUUGGGUAUUCUGCGCGUUCUGUGUCUCUAAUUGGUGUUUAGCAUCGGCUGUGGGAGGCUGUGUUUGAUGGAUAUACCGACCCCUUCCCGUACUUCAUGGUCUUGGGAAACGUGGAAAAGAACUGUGAUGUUAACUGAAAGGGCAGGACUGUCCACCCUUGAGUUGUUUUGCUCAAGCCUUGGUUGAAACUGCCCCUGCUUUGAUCCAACGGCUGGGAGAACGAAGGCGGGGUCCUCGCUGCCGGCCUCCAACUGUUCCGCGUUCGUGGUGUCUCUGCCAGGCGGAGGAAGGGGCGCGUGCGCGUGACUCACGGAGCCAUCUGGCCGCCCUUCGCCCAGCGUAUGCCGACUUGUACCGACGGGGAGACCUUAGGGUGGACCCCCGCGUGGCUGCAACAUGCUUACGUGGACCCUGCUGCACAAGGCAAGGAAUGGACCCGGACUCUGGUCCUUCUGGCCCCUUCAACGGCCAAUUUUAUCCUUACAAAAAAUGGCUUUUGCCAGCCUUUUGAAAUAUGUUUGUAAAGAGGAACAAUUUUAUUGUGAUCGACACGUGAAUUACUGUUGGGCCAAAGUGACACUAGCGUGCCCCUCGACAACCAGGGGACAGCCUGGGUAAGAGCGACUGCUCCCGGCGCCUCGCGAGACUGACAGGCCAGCCAGAGCUCGGGGUCGGGAGGUGAGGCUUCUCCUGGCACGCUGUAGGAAAUUGAGAUCAGGGAUGUCUUUUCUUCUUUUUUUCCUACAGAUGGCCAAUCCUUUGGGAUGUAUUCUGAAAAAUCGGGAUGAUUUUGAUCCACAAAUCCUGAAGAGAAAGCGACUCCUUUUCUUUUGCUCCGAGACUUGGCCCCAGUACAAAUCGGAGGAGGAAACCUGGCCGCCAGAGGGAAGUAUCAGUCGUAACAUCAUCCUACAACUGGACUUACUCUGUAAACGUGAGGGGAAAUGGAGGAAGUCCCCUACAUUCAGUGUUUUGGGGCCUUAAAAAAAUGAGGUACGUGUAAGCAAUGUAAGGUCCAUCCUGGCCUGUUGGCAGCCGUUUCCGAGGGCUCACGACCAAGAAGGGAGGGACCUAAGGCCCUGCCUGUACCCACAGCAAACCCAGAGAGAGGAAGGGACGUCUCCUACCUCGGUCUCCUCCUCAUCGGGUCCUCAAUGUCCAGACUUACAAACAUGCGCUUCUCCCUGCCGCCCACCUUAGCCAGGCCCUGCCCGUAACGUGGCCGACAUGUUUCCCCUACAAGAAGCUGGGGUGCAGGAAGGGGGACGCAGGGAGGCACGGCCAUGGAACUUGACAAAAGACUUAAGUGUGGCCAUAGACCGCCCCCCACACGAUGGAGUCGGGCCCGUCGGGAGCGGACAGUCCAGCACCCGGAGCUACCAAGCCAACAAGGGUAGGACCUGAGAAGGGACAAGGGGGAAGGAGGGGGAGGGCGACCAGAACCUUAUAAAGCAAGGACUCUUGCCUGGAGCCCCCGGGGAUUCACUUGCAGACGUCCCCCUCUGUACAGAGCGCUGUCCUGCUGUGCUUCCUUUCUGAUCUGAUACUCUGAUACGCUUCUCAGCUGCUCGUUUUAUUGUGUCCCCCUCUUCAUUCUUCAAAGCAGUGAGACAGCAAACCCGGGUUUUGAGGUAAAAAAGAUCCCCCAACACUAGGAUGAAGAAGUUCUCGGGUGAGCUUGCAAAGUCGUUUCCCCAGAUAUUUUGGUAACCCGGAACCUUAAAGCUUUGCUAAGUUAGAUGAGAAGAUAAAUUCCUUGAGCAUCUGGGUCACUACUGAAACUAACUGCUGAGCUCAGUUAUUUCCUUUCACUUCCCCCCCAAAAGGAAGCCAACGGAUAUUUGGGCCUAUUAGUAAACAUGUUUCCCACAUUAAGCAAAACUGCACGACAAGGAAGCCUGUGUCUCUAGAAAUUGGAAAAUCCGAGUAUAUUUUAUGAUCUAGAGAAUGCUCCUGUGACGGUUCACAAUUGCUUGUUGGCUUUCACUAGAAAUUAAGGGUUUCUAGGGCUUAAAAAUUCUAAUAUGAUGGAAGCCACUAGAAAUAUUAAGGAAACCUCUCCGUAUGCACGGAAAGUGUGAUUUUGUAAAAAGGAGGGUCGGAGGAAUGGUGAUGUGCUUUUGUUGAGGACAAAGAAACGUGUAGGUUUGUGGAAAAGGAGGCUUUGGAGAGAAAUUUUAAUGUGUGGCCAAGCUGGCUAAGAUUACAAUUAAAUUUUAAUAUCAACAGUAAGUGGCACAAAAUUGGUUUUUGCUCUGAAAAACAAAGUUUUCUUGAACUUCAGGUAUGCUGUUGACAACAGUUGAUAAAAGUUUCUUUACUUUUCAAGUAAUCCACCAGAAAGCCAAGAUCUGGUGCCUUACCAGGUCUUUGUUUUCUGGCACUUUGACUAAAUCAACCACUAACUACUGUCUCACAAUGGUCUGUGACCCUCUGUAGUCAAGUGUCCAAACGUGUUGAUGUUUUCGACAGACUUACCCAAAUCGAAGUCUAAAUAAGGCCUUUACUGACCUCGAACUAAGUUUUGAGAAUUUCCAGAGGGUCCCUGAACAUCUCCAAAGGUUUGUUCUCACUUACACAAAGAAUGAUGUUCUGCUAAUUAGGUUUAUUUGAUUGUGUUAAAUUCUAUGGAAAGCAUGUGAAAUACAUGAUGAUAACCCACUGUGUCGGUAAAUAUUAAUGUUCUGCAAGUUCUGAGAUCCCCACACACCUAGAAUAUCUUGGAUAGCAUCACCAGUCAUAACCGCAGUUCUCUCUGAAUGUUACGUUCAGAAAUAACCAAGUAGCUCUGUCGGUUCCGCGUCACAGACUCCCGUCGGAUCUCUGACAUCGGGAGUCUUGUCGUUGCACUUUGGUGCCCUGCCAGUGUCCUGCGAAGGCACCUCCCUCCAAGGAGUCACGGAAAGGACUGACAAGUAGGACCUGACAUCGUGAAAGUGAGCGGGAUGAGAAAUUCUAGAACUAAAAACGAGGAAUGGAUUCAAGCAGAACGAGUAUUAGAUGGAACCGAAUGGAUUCAGAACCAUAAUUUUACGACUUCUGCUUUGAAACACCGCCUGUUCUUUACCUUUUUCCAAACUUAAGAAAGCCUUCUCUUUUCUCAUGGGAUCAGCAAUUUAAGAUAUUGCUUUGUGAACAAAGGUGAACAUUGCUCUCCCUCUUUGGCCCCUCCAGAAUUUGCAAACUUAGUAUUCUUGUGCAACUGUACCGCCACUCAAAUGAGUGAUUUAGGAAUCCGUUCUUGUAACAGGACAUGAUUGGGAAUGUUGGUUAUAUUACCAGGCUCUGACCACAAGGUCUUAUUUGAGGGAGGUGUAAAGACUCUGAGAUGAUCGGCUUUCAGGAAUUAAGGCUGACCUUAAUGGAGCCUUGCUUACAGGGUUCCUGGCGGCCUGACCCGGUGAGGAGGGAAGGUCGCUUCUUGGCAGGCCCCAGAAUCUCAGGAAAUGUUUGGAACCUUGAGAAGAGAGGAAUUCACCCAAAUCUGUAUGUAUUGCAGGCAAAGUCUGUUGAUGGCUCCUUAGCGUGGCUUCUCAGCCUGGAGAGUCUUUCAAAGUUCACGGGAGAUUCCUUAUGGAAAGUCUGAGCAAAGCAGACUUAAAAGUCUGUAUGGUGAACACUCUUCUUCUGCAGUUAUGUAAAUAACAAGGCCAAGGUACUGAAACUGUGAAAACAGAGUUAGUCUUGCUGUGAAUGUGGGGGUGACUGUAGAGAGAAAUUGUUUCAGUAAUAUGCCUUCGUGGACAGCAGAUUCUAGUGCCGUUAACGGCCCGUGCGGUUUUGUUUUUAUCUGUAAACUGGACUAGAUCCCGAGUUCUUCUAUUUUCUUCCUAGAUUUGGCUGCAACUCUCCAAACUGGCAUUUCCGGUUCACCCCCUCCCCACCACCAGUCCUUCUGACUCGGAAUCGUUGAGAACCAGAACUGCCCUUUCCCCGAAGCCGUGCAAGUUACAGCCCGACACCGUCACAUAAGGUUCAGAGAAACCACAACAGCUCAUGUGUGGAUAACUGCCGUGCCUGCUGCCGUGCGGGCCACUCGGAGAGCUCGCCAGAAGGCCUCCCUGCAGGCCGGGCCCGUCUGUCUCGUUUCCGCUGUCUGCUUCACCCCACCGGAAGAUGCUGCAAGCCGGGCAUCUGGACGUCUGUGCGGCUGGCUGCCUCCGGAACUCACCGAGACCGGAUCUGCUCCCCAAAUUAACCUUCGUUUUUCUUUUGUCUCCCCAGAAAUGCCUCUCAUUAAAUAUCUGAUGACUUGCCCCCAGACCUCACUCGGGAGCCUCCUGAAACGGAGCCGGCUGCUUAACCGAACGACCCCGUCGUCAGGACUGGGAGGCUGGCUCAGUGAGCCGGAGCGGUCCAUCAGCCCAGAAGUUUCAGAGGUGGGACCAAGGCUGGGAGAGGAUAUGCGACCCCCAGAUACGCUGCUCUGGCACGUGGAUCAAAUUGAGCUAAAGACCAUCAGGAUGCAGCAGAUUUAAGAAAAAACUUGCCUCUCGCUUCUUGGAAGGGUUUGGACAGGAGGCCUAGCCCCUGGCGGGAGCUGUUACCGCCUAUGAACUUGUAUCUGAAUGACCCAUCCACACAGCAGGGCAAACAUCUCAUGACCGCAGAUCCGUUGUCGUUACGGUCCUGUGAAGCCCCAGGCCUCCACCCCUUCCUCCGCUCAGGACGGCAGAAGCCUCUGCUGCCGGGCUCGUCCUGGGGUCUCAUAUUCUUAUGGGGCCCCUGUAUGUACGUGAUCAGACUUGUCUCCCGUUAA